rnacentral:rRNA from 1 species
GGGCUAAACCAUGCACCGAAGCUGCGGCAGCGACACUGUGUGUUGUUGGGUAGGGGAGCGUUCUGUAAGCCUGUGAAGGUGUGUCGUGAGGCAUGCUGGAGGUAUCAGAAGUGCGAAUGCUGACAUAAGUAACGAUAAAGCGGGUGAAAAGCCCGCUCGCCGGAAGACCAAGGGUUCCUGUCCAACGUUAAUCGGGGCAGGGUGAGUCGACCCCUAAGGCGAGGCCGAAAGGCGUAGUCGAUGGGAAACGGGUUAAUAUUCCCGUACUUGGUGUUACUGCGAAGGGGGGACGGAGAAGGCUAUGUUGGCCGGGCGACGGUUGUCCCGGUUUAAGCGUGUAGGUGUGUGUUCCAGGUAAAUCCGGUUCACUUUAACACUGAGGCGUGACGACGAGGCACUACGGUGCUGAAGCAACAAAUGCCCUGCUUCCAGGAAAAGCCUCUAAGCAUCAGGUAACAUCAAAUCGUACCCCAAACCGACACAGGUGGUCAGGUAGAGAAUACCAAGGCGCUUGAGAGAACUCGGGUGAAGGAACUAGGCAAAAUGGUGCCGUAACUUCGGGAGAAGGCACGCUGACACGUAGGUGAAGUGAUUUACUCAUGGAGCUGAAGUCAGUCGAAGAUACCAGCUGGCUGCAACUGUUUAUUAAAAACACAGCACUGUGCAAACACGAAAGUGGACGUAUACGGUGUGACGCCUGCCCGGUGCCGGAAGGUUAAUUGAUGGGGUCAGCGCAAGCGAAGCUCCUGAUCGAAGCCCCGGUAAACGGCGGCCGUAACUAUAACGGUCCUAAGGUAGCGAAAUUCCUUGUCGGGUAAGUUCCGACCUGCACGAAUGGCGUAAUGAUGGCCAGGCUGUCUCCACCCGAGACUCAGUGAAAUUGAACUCGCUGUGAAGAUGCAGUGUACCCGCGGCAAGACGGAAAGACCCCGUGAACCUUUACUAUAGCUUGACACUGAACAUUGAGCCUUGAUGUGUAGGAUAGGUGGGAGGCUUUGAAGUGUGGACGCCAGUCUGCAUGGAGCCGACCUUGAAAUACCACCCUUUAAUGUUUGAUGUUCUAACGUGGACCCGUUACCCGGGUUGCGGACAGUGUCUGGUGGGUAGUUUGACUGGGGCGGUCUCCUCCUAAAGAGUAACGGAGGAGCACGAAGGUUGGCUAAUCCUGGUCGGACAUCAGGAGGUUAGUGCAAUGGCAUAAGCCAGCUUGACUGCGAGCGUGACGGCGCGAGCAGGUGCGAAAGCAGGUCAUAGUGAUCCGGUGGUUCUGAAUGGAAGGGCCAUCGCUCAACGGAUAAAAGGUACUCCGGGGAUAACAGGCUGAUACCGCCCAAGAGUUCAUAUCGACGGCGGUGUUUGGCACCUCGAUGUCGGCUCAUCACAUCCUGGGGCUGAAGUAGGUCCCAAGGGUAUGGCUGUUCGCCAUUUAAAGUGGUACGCGAGCUGGGUUUAGAACGUCGUGAGACAGUUCGGUCCCUAUCUGCCGUGGGCGCUGGAGAACUGAGGGGGGCUGCUCCUAGUACGAGAGGACCGGAGUGGACGCAUCACUGGUGUUCGGGUUGUCAUGCCAAUGGCACUGCCCGGUAGCUAAAUGCGGAAGAGAUAAGUGCUGAAAGCAUCUAAGCACGAAACUUGCCCCGAG